rfam:Echinostoma caproni strain Egypt genome assembly, scaffold: ECPE_scaffold0001636
GGCCUCGUAGCUCUGCUGGUAGAGCAUGCGCGUACAAAGCGUAGGCGGCGUCCAUGCGUGGGUUCGAAUCCCAUCGAGGCUA